rnacentral:piRNA from 1 species
UUCUAAUCUCUCCCUUUGCUUUAAG